GCACUGAACAAUUCUAAUCCCUCUUAUAUCUCUCACUGAUCCAUAUGUAUGCCUCUUCUCGGUCUCGCCGCUCUGCCCAUGACCUUCUGCUGUUCAGUAGCGUCUAUAGGAUUCAUUUUUAGGGGGGGGCACAUGGUGGGUCAGGGAAAAAAGUAGGGGGGCACAUUUAACCCCACCCUCGCCGCAGUUUGACGCCGCCCC